rfam:Lactobacillus hominis DSM 23910 = CRBIP 24.179, type strain:CRBIP 24.179, WGS project CAKE01000000 data, contig: 2
UAUAAGCAACUUAAUAAUACUUAUAUAUCGUCGAAAUAAGGUCGACAGUUUCUACCCGGAACCAUAAAUUCUGGACUAUAGGUAAAACGUCAAAUUAA